GAUGAACGCUGGCGGCGUGCCUAAUACAUGCAAGUCGAGCGAACGGACGAGAAGCUUGCUUCUCUGAUGUUAGCGGCGGACGGGUGAGUAACACGUGGAUAACCUACCUAUAAGACUGGGAUAACUUCUGGAAACCGUAGCUAAUACCGGAUAAUAUUUUGAACCGCAUGGUUCAAAAGUGAAAGACGGUCUUGCUGUCACUUAUAGAUGGAUCCGCGCUGCAUUAGCUAGUUGGUAAGGUAACGGCUUACCAAGGCAACGAUGCAUAGCCGACCUGAGAGGGUGAUCGGCCACACUGGAACUGAGACACGGUCCAGACUCCUACGGGAGGCAGCAGUAGGGAAUCUUCCGCAAUGGGCGAAAGCCUGACGGAGCAACGCCGCGUGAGUGAUGAAGGUCUUCGGAUCGUAAAACUCUGUUAUUAGGGAAGAACAUAUGUGUAAGUAACUGUGCACAUCUUGACGGUACCUAAUCAGAAAGCCACGGCUAACUACGUG
rnacentral:rRNA from 1 species